AUUGAACGCUGGCGGCAGGCCUAACACAUGCAAGUCGAGCGGAGCGGCGGACGGGUGGGUAAUGCCUAGGAAUCUGCCUGGUAGUGAGGGAUAACGUCCGGACACGGGCGCUAUUGUCGCAUCCUAUCAGAUGAGCCUAGGUCGGAUUAGCUCGUUGGGGGGGUAAAGGCCUACCAAGGCGACGAUCCGUAACUGGUCUGAGAGGAUGAUCAGUCACACUGGAACUGAGACACGGCCCAGACUCCUACGGGAGGCAGCAGGGGGGAAUAGUGGACAAUGGGCGAAAGCCUGAUCGAGCCAUGCCGCGUGUGUGAAGAAGGUCUUCGGAUUGUAAAGCACUGUAAGUUGGGAGGCGUUACCAACAGAAGAAGCACCGGCUAACUACGUGCCAGCAGCCGCGGUAAUUC
rnacentral:rRNA from 1 species